UCACCAUGCAGGCGUCCGUCAUCGGCGCCGGUAUUGGCUCAUGAUCAAAAAAAUUGUCUCAAUCGAAGCACAAAGCCAAGCUGAUCAUGAAUCUGGAAAUGAAAUGGGAAAACACUCCUUGUGUUGGUCGAAUCGCACAUCUAAAGGGAGGAACCCUAGCCGAUUGCAAGCUAAAUUAAAUAGUGUAUGGCGCCAAUCAAUCCCUACAACCAUGGGGUUUCUACUCCCUACUUCAGAUACUACAACUAGGUGAUCUCAAAGCAAGGAAAAUACCACUGAAAUGAAAAUGACAUAUCGGAGAAGAUGAUCGGAAGGUUCGUCGGUUAUUACUUAAAUGGAUAUGAACUCCAAGGGCUUUAGUAAUGACUCGUUGAACAUGUUGCACUUAAGUGGUAUUGGUUCAUUGGCUUAAAUGAUGACUGGUUGGACCUGUUAUGUGGUGUUAGUGCUGUUAUGCCAUUGAACUUUGCAUCGUGUUACUCUAUCACUGAAACCUGUCUUGAACUGUUAUCCAUGUCACAUGUAUGGGUUGUUGAAAAAUCUAUUGGAUGGCUUUAAUUAUGGUGAUUUGCUAGGUCUUGGAUUUUGUUGUGCAAAAUGUUGUACAAUUUGAAAUGGAUAUGUGAAGGUUUGACAUGCUUAGCUUGAGUCUAAAACAGAUUUUGGAGGGUUUGGCUUGAUGCAAGUUGGUACACUCAUGGUGUUUGCAAGGUAACCUCAUGGUCUUGUUGUUGUAGAGCUGCUAAGUUAACUCAAUGCUUCCAAGUGCCUUUGUUUCAGGUUUGAGGGCAUGUGCAAGGGGCUAUGGCGCUGCAUAGUUGCAUUGGCAUGGUUUGUACAAAUCCAUAGGAUAUUUUGACUUGUCCUUGGUUCUACAAGUACAGCUUACCCUCACUGCUUCCAUUCUGGCCUUGACAUGGUUCUUGGUUGCAAUGUUGGUUCUGUUAUUCACUGCAGGCUUUGAGCAUAAUCAUUGAACCACACUCAUGGUACAACUUGGUCAUGGCAUAUUAACUUGUUAAUUCAUGUUAGUAAUGAAUUGUUAGUACAAUCCCUAUGAUAACUUGAUGCUUGGUGUUAGAUGACUGGCAGGAUAUUGUAGUCAUGGUUGUUACACCAUUGGACUUAAACUGCAGGUAGCUUGGAAGUGGAUGAAUUCUGCAAUCAAAGCCAGUGUUAUAGGUGACUGCUGAUGAUAAUACCCUUGAUCGCUUAUGAACCUGGUUGUUGUGGCUUUAUGAUAGCUGCCAGACAGGCUAUGAUGGUGUUGUUGCAUUAUGGCAUGUGUGAUGUCCAGUCAAAUUAAGUUAGGAUGCUGGUGUGCUUGGAGCAGGUUUGUUACAGGUUCAUAAAUUGCGUUAGGUCAGCAACCAGUUCCUUAUUACAAGUUAACUUGGUGUUGAUUUGUGGUGAAUGGUUGUAUGCAGUUUGGAAGCACUUGUCUGCUGCAAUUUAUCGUGCUCAUGAUAUGUUGUAGUAGGUAGCCUUGUAAGUUGCUAACUUGUGUUGAAACCUCAUUUUAUGCAUAUGGUGUAUGCUUGGUCCUAUUUAUGAUGGUUGAUGUUGGAUGAACAAGGAUGCUGGUUGCAGCCUGUUGUAAUUUCACAAGCAGGUCUGCUAGGAUGUAGGUGCAUGAGAUGUUUGAAUAUGCCAUAUUGUGAUUUGUUUUGGCCAUGUUAGUACAGUUAUUUGCAAUGCAUUCUGCAGGUCUGGGUUGGUUGACUGGUUUGGCAUGUUUCUGCUUGCAAGUUUAUGACAAGGCCCAAGUUUAUCAUGUAGUGAAUGUAUGCUCUCCAUUGUAGAUUUCCAUGUUGCCCUUGAGUUAAGCGAUGAAGGAUGGAUCACAUUGUGUUAGGUUGUGCUGUGUUAAAGCCAUUAGGAUUUGGUUUGGGGCAGACCAAGACCAAGAUUUGACAAGCUAAAAUAUGAGGUUGAAUCAUGAAACCACUUACUUGGAAAUGAAGCAACCAAGGGAGAACACAACCAAACAUGGAAAUUGGAUCAAGAAUCACGUACAAAGGCUAGAUUAGGUUUUGGAUGACCAAAAGAAUGGGGAGGUUGACUUUGGUCAAAGUUGACCAAAAAGUCAAUUGUUGACCAAAGUCAACAAAAGGUCAAAAAUUCAAAUUUCUUUGUAUUUUCUUUGUAAACAGACAAUGUAUUAGUGAACAUGAUGGA